rnacentral:rRNA from 1 species
CAGUCGCCGCGGGAAUACGUAGGGUGCAAGCGUUAAUCGGAAUUACUGGGCGUAAAGCGUGCGCAGGCGGUUUGUUAAGACAGAUGUGAAAUCCCCGGGCUCAACCUGGGAACUGCAUUUGUGACUGGCAAGCUAGAGUCUGGCAGAGGGGGGUGGAAUUCCGCGUGUAGCAGUGAAAUGCGUAGAUAUGCGGAGGAACACCGAUGGCGAAGGCAGCCCCCUGGGCCAACACUGACGCUCAUGCGCGAAAGCGUGGGGAGCAAACAGGAUUAGAUACCCCUGUAGUCCCUGUCUCUUAUAC